rnacentral:misc_RNA from 1 species
UUUUAGUUAUAAGUUUUUUAUGUAUUUCUUGCAUUUUUGUUUAUUGUGACUUAUAACUUAUUUCUAUUUAUUAAAGUCUAAACUUCUAUAAUUUAUAUUUUCUACUCUAUGAAUUAUGACUUAUUUCUAAUUUUCUAUUUAUUAUGUAUAAUUUUAUAGUAUCACUUUUAUCAUAUACAUAAGCUGAAAAUUUCAGGUAUGAACUAUUUCUUUUUCUAACAUCUCUUAUUAUUAUUUG